rnacentral:pre_miRNA from 1 species
GCGUGCCCGUGCAUGCCCGUGCGCGCGUCCCCUGGCGUGGUGUUCCCACAUCCGCGCGUCGCCUGGGCAGGUGGCUCGA